rnacentral:rRNA from 1 species
UCGAGAAUCUUCGGCAAUGGGCGCAAGCCUGACCGAGCGACGCCGCGUGGAGGAUGAAGGCCCUCGGGUUGUAAACUCCUGUCGAGGGGGAAGAAGGCGCAAGCUUGACUGAUCCCUGGAGGAAGCACGGGCUAAGUUCGUGCCAGCAGCCGCGGUAAGACGAACCGUGCGAACGUUAUUCGGAAUCACUGGGCUUAAAGCGCGUGUAGGCGGGACGGCACGUCGGUCGCUGAAAGCCCCCGGCUCAACCGGGGAAUGGGCGCCGAUACGACCGCCCUGGAGGGACGUAGGGGGACCUGGAACUUCCGGUGGAGCGGUGAAAUGCGUUGAGAUCGGAAGGAACGCCCGUGGCGAAAGCGAGGUCCUGGACGUCUGCUGACGCUGAGACGCGAAAGCCAGGGGAGCGAACGGGAUUAGAUACCCCCGUAGUCC